rnacentral:rRNA from 1 species
GAUGAACGCUGGCGGCGUGCCUAAUACAUGCAAGUCGAGCGAACAGACGAGGAGCUUGCUCCUCUGACGUUAGCGGCGGACGGGUGAGUAACACGUGGAUAACCUACCUAUAAGACUGGGAUAACUUCGGGAAACCGGAGCUAAUACCGGAUAAUAUAUUGAACCGCAUGGUUCAAUAGUGAAAGACGGUUUUGCUGUCACUUAUAGAUGGAUCCGCGCCGCAUUAGCUAGUUGGUAAGGUAACGGCUUACCAAGGCAACGAUGCGUAGCCGACCUGAGAGGGUGAUCAGCCACACUGGAACUGAGACACGGUCCAGACUCCUACGGGAGGCAGCAGUAGGGAAUCUUCGGCAAUGGGCGAAAGCCUGACGGAGCAACGCCGCGUGAGUGAUGAAGGUCUUCGGAUCGUAAAACUCUGUUAUUAGGGAAGAACAAAAGUGUAAGUAACUAUGCACGUCUUGACGGUACCUAAACAGAAAGCCACGGCUAACUACGUG